AUUGAACGCUGGCGGCAUGCUUUACACAUGCAAGUCGAACGGUAACAGGCCUUCGGGUGCUGACGAGUGGCGAACGGGUGAGUAAUGCAUCGGAACGUGCCCAAUCGUGGGGGAUAACGUAGCGAAAGUUACGCUAAUACCGCAUAAGCCCUGAGGGGGAAAGUGGGGGACCGCAAGGCCUCACGCGAAUGGAGCGGCCGAUGUCAGAUUAGCUAGUUGGUGGGGUAAAGGCCCACCAAGGCGACGAUCUGUAGCGGGUCUGAGAGGAUGAUCCGCCACACUGGGACUGAGACACGGCCCAGACUCCUACGGGAGGCAGCAGUGGGGAAUUUUGGACAAUGGGGGCAACCCUGAUCCAGCCAUGCCGCGUGCGGGAAGAAGGCC
rnacentral:rRNA from 1 species